rnacentral:rRNA from 1 species
UACGUAGGGGGCUAGCGUUGUCCGGAAUCAUUGGGCGUAAAGCGCGCGUAGGCGGCCAGAUAAGUCCGGUGUGAAAGUCACAGGCUCAACCUGUGAAUGCCGCUGGAAACUGUCUGGCUAGAGUCCGGAAGGGGCGAGUGGAAUUCUCGGUGUAGCGGUGAAAUGCGUAGAUAUCGAGAGGAACACCAGCGGCGAAGGCGGCGCUCUGGGCCGGAACUGACGCUGAGGAGCGAAAGCGUGGGUAGCAAACAGG